AAAACUUUCAACAACGGAUCUCUUGGUUCUGGCAUCGAUGAAAAACGCAGCGAAAUGCGAUAAGUAAUGUGAAUUGCAAAAUUCAGUGAAUCAUCGAAUCUUUGAACGCACAUUGCGCCCUUUGGUAUUCCGAAGGGCAUGCCUGUUCGAGCGUCAUUA
rnacentral:rRNA from 1 species